rnacentral:rRNA from 1 species
UACAGGGGGGGCAAGCGUUGUUCGGAAUUACUGGGCGUAAAGGGCCAGUAGGCGGCCAACUAAGUCACACGUGAAAUCCCCCGGCUUAACCGGGGAACUGCGUCUGAUACUGGAUGGCUUGAGUUCGGGAGAGGGAUGCGGAAUUCCAGGUGUAGCGGUGAAAUGCGUAGAUAUCUGGAGGAACACCGGUGGCGAAGGCGGCAUCCUGGACCGAUACUGACGCUGAGGAGCGAAAGCCAGGGGAGCAAACGGG